CGAACGGGUGAGUAAUAUAUCGGAACGUGCCCAGUCGUGGGGGAUAACUGCUCGAAAGAGCAGCUAAUACCGCAUACGACCUGAGGGUGAAAGCGGGGGAUCGCAAGACCUCGCGCGAUUGGAGCGGCCGAUAUCAGAUUAGGUAGUUGGUGGGGUAAAGGCCCACCAAGCCAACGAUCUGUAGCUGGUCUGAGAGGACGACCAGCCACACUGGGACUGAGACACGGCCCAGACUCC
rnacentral:rRNA from 1 species